rnacentral:piRNA from 1 species
UUGUAUUAAAUAAAGAGGACUGUA